AUUGAACGCUGGCGGCAUGCUUUACACAUGCAAGUCGAACGGCAGCGCGGGCUUCGGCCUGGCGGCGAGUGGCGAACGGGUGAGUAAUGCAUCGGAACGUGCCCAGUAGUGGGGGAUAGCCCGGCGAAAGCCGGAUUAAUACCGCAUACCACCUGAGGGUGAAAGCGGGGGACCGAAAGGCCUCGCGCUAUUGGAGCGGCCGAUGUCGGAUUAGCUAGUUGGUGGGGUAAAGGCUUUCCAAGGCGACGAUCCGUAGCUGGUCUGAGAGGACGACCAGCCACACUGGGACUGAGACACGGCCCAGACUCCUACGGGAGGCAGCAGUGGGGAAUUUUGGACAAUGGGGGCAACCCUGAUCCAGCCAUGCCGCGUGCGGGAAGAAGGCCUUCGGGUUGUAAACCGCUUUUGUUCGGGAAGAAAUCCUCUGGGCUAAUACCCCGGGGGGAUGACGGUACCGGAAGAAUAAGCACCGGCUAACUACGUG
rnacentral:rRNA from 1 species